rnacentral:misc_RNA from 1 species
AACUUUUAACAACGGAUCUCUUGGUUCCGGCAUCGAUGAAGAACGCAGCAAAAUGCGAUAAGUAAUGUGAAUUGCAGAAUUCCGUGAAUCAUCGAAUCUUUGAACGCAUAUUGCGCCCUCCGGUAUUCCGGAGGGCAUGCCUGUCCGAGUGUCAUUGCCUUCCCUCCAAGCCCCUCUUGGCUUUGGAUGUUGGGCCGUUUUGUCCCCUUGCUUCUCCGGGGGGACAGGCCUGAAAGACAGUGGCGAUGCCGUAGUCAACCCCCGAGCGUAUGGGUGUCUUCCGCUCUCUAGGCUUGAUUGGCAUCCGCCGUCCUCCUGCACUGCAGUGUUUGACUCCAGUGGACCUCGGAUCAGGUAAGGAUACCCGCUGAACUUAAGCAUAUCAAUAAGCGGAGGCU